GCCUGGGUAGCUCAGUGGUUGAGCGUCUGCCUUUCGGCUCAGGGCGUGAUCUGGGGGUCCUGGGAUCGAGUCCCACCUCAGGCU
rnacentral:tRNA from 1 species